rnacentral:rRNA from 1 species
AGAGUUUGAUCAUGGCUCAGAUUGAACGCUGGCGGCAGGCCUAACACAUGCAAGUCGAACGGUAACAGGAAACAGCUUGCUGUUUCGCUGACGAGUGGCGGACGGGUGAGUAAUGUCUGGGAAACUGCCUGAUGGAGGGGGAUAACUACUGGAAACGGUAGCUAAUACCGCAUAACGUCGCAAGACCAAAGAGGGGGACCUUCGGGCCUCUUGCCAUCAGAUGUGCCCAGAUGGGAUUAGCUAGUAGGUGGGGUAACGGCUCACCUAGGCGACGAUCCCUAGCUGGUCUGAGAGGAUGACCAGCCACACUGGAACUGAGACACGGUCCAGACUCCUACGGGAGGCAGCAGUGGGGAAUAUUGCACAAUGGGCGCAAGCCUGAUGCAGCCAUGCCGCGUGUAUGAAGAAGGCCUUCGGGUUGUAAAGUACUUUCAGCGGGGAGGAAGGGAGUAAAGUUAAUACCUUUGCUCAUUGACGUUACCCGCAGAAGAAGCACCGGCUAACUCCGUGCCAGCAGCCGCGGUAAUACGGAGGGUGCAAGCGUUAAUCGGAAUUACUGGGCGUAAAGCGCACGCAGGCGGUUUGUUAAGUCAGAUGUGAAAUCCCCGGGCUCAACCUGGGAACUGCAUCUGAUACUGGCAAGCUUGAGUCUCGUAGAGGGGGGUAGAAUUCCAGGUGUAGCGGUGAAAUGCGUAGAGAUCUGGAGGAAUACCGGUGGCGAAGGCGGCCCCCUGGACGAAGACUGACGCUCAGGUGCGAAAGCGUGGGGAGCAAACAGGAUUAGAUACCCUGGUAGUCCACGCCGUAAACGAUGUCGACUUGGAGGUUGUGCCCUUGAGGCGUGGCUUCCGGAGCUAACGCGUUAAGUCGACCGCCUGGGGAGUACGGCCGCAAGGUUAAAACUCAAAUGAAUUGACGGGGGCCCGCACAAGCGGUGGGGCAUGUGGUUUAAUUCGAUGCAACGCGAAGAACCUUACCUGGUCUUGACAUCCACGGAAGUUUUCAGAGAUGAGAAUGUGCCUUCGGGAACCGUGAGACAGGUGCUGCAUGGCUGUCGUCAGCUCGUGUUGUGAAAUGUUGGGUUAAGUCCCGCAACGAGCGCAACCCUUAUCCUUUGUUGCCAGCGGUCCGGCCGGGAACUCAAAGGAGACUGCCAGUGAUAAACUGGAGGAAGGUGGGGAUGACGUCAAGUCAUCAUGGCCCUUACGACCAGGGCUACACACGUGCUACAAUGGCGCAUACAAAGAGAAGCGACCUCGCGAGAGCAAGCGGACCUCAUAAAGUGCGUCGUAGUCCGGAUUGGAGUCUGCAACUCGACUCCAUGAAGUCGGAAUCGCUAGUAAUCGUGGAUCAGAAUGCCACGGUGAAUACGUUCCCGGGCCUUGUACACACCGCCCGUCACACCAUGGGAGUGGGUUGCAAAAGAAGUAGGUAGCUUAACCUUCGGGAGGGCGCUUACCACUUUGUGAUUCAUGACUGGGGUGAAGUCGUAACAAGGUAACCGUAGGGGAACCUGCGGUUG